UUUUAUAGGAUAAUCUGUAAGGAUCAUGACAUUUUAACAUGAUGCAUGUGGCCUCCACACGAGACACGACCCGCCUCACCGCAUUGGAUGAUUGGUCGGACUUUACGUUCAGUUUUUUGUUUUGUUUUUAUGUUAUUAACAAACUUAAUAAUGCAGUAAACUAAACUAGGCUAAGCUAAGAAACCCUUCAGGAUUUCAAGGCACAGUCGUUGCAUCGAAAACAACGCUUUUUAUUUUUGAAGGUAAUUUUUUCAGAUCCCAUUUUUUCUUUUACAUUUUGAUCUUAAUUGCAGGUGGUGGUUUGACAUUGAAGAUCUAGGAGUGCGUAGGCUCUUCUUCUACCGACGGUGGUGGUGUGGUUCUCGUCCUUCGGUGUAGUUGCAACUCCGGUUAAAUGGAACAGAAGUCUCGUCAUAAAAACCCCUGGUUUGAGGAUGCCGGUGGGUUAACGUCUGAAUCUUCUCGGCUCAUCCGUUAAUCGGAUUGUUGUGGCUACAGCGGAAGCCGAAGGGCGAGUGGUGGGGAGCACUAUUUUUCAAGAUCGUGUUUCCAUCAGACCGGUUUGAAGAUGUCUCUGCGCGGGGGUGAUCGAAGUGGUCGGCUGUUGAAGAGAGGGGAUAGAUCUGAGCUUGGCAGUUUGCUAGGUCGGGAACUGUCAACGUCGAUGUCGGUUGUCGUAAGUUGCGCACACCAGGAGGAUUGUAGCGGGUCAGGUGGCUCGACGGCAAAAGAGUACUGGCAGAAAUUGGAUUCUUCUGCCGGAGAUCCGGAUCCGUUCGUUGCUGCCGCGAAGCCAUGGCCCUUGAAUCCAUCGGAAUUGGUGCGGUGACUCUCUGCCUCCGAUGAUCAACAUGGUCCGAGCCUCUCAGCCGGCGACGAGUUUUUCAUUUUUUUUGGUAAACCCUAAUUUUGUUACUGGAUCGGAAGUGUAAAGGCCGCGGCCCAGCCCAUUUGGAAUGAUUUUCGAAUUUUAAUAUUAAAAAAAAAAACACUUCAGAUUGUAAGUA